GGCUCCGUAGCGAAAUGGAUAUCGCAUCAGACUUCGGAUCUGGGGGUUGUGGGUUCGAGUCCCAUCGGAGUCG